GAUGAACGCUGGCGGCGUGCCUAAUACAUGCAGGUCGAGCGAACAGACGAGGAGCUUGCUCCUCUGACGUUAGCGGCGGACGGGUGAGUAACACGUGGAUAACCUACCUAUAAGACUGGGAUAACUUCGGGAAACCGGAGCUAAUACCGGAUAAUAUAUUGAACCGCAUGGUUCAAUAGUGAAAGACGGUCUUGCUGUCACUUAUAGAUGGAUCCGCGCCGCAUUAGCUAGUUGGUAAGGUAACGGCUUACCAAGGCGACGAUGCGUAGCCGACCUGAGAGGGUGAUCGGCCACACUGGAACUGAGACACGGUCCAGACUCCUACGGGAGGCAGCAGUAGGGAAUCUUCCGCAAUGGGCGAAAGCCUGACGGAGCAACGCCGCGUGAGUGAUGAAGGUCUUCGGAUCGUAAAACUCUGUUAUUAGGGAAGAACAAAUGUGUAAGUAACUAUGCACGUCUUGACGGUACCUAAUCAGAAAGCCACGGCUAACUACGUG
rnacentral:rRNA from 1 species